rnacentral:lncRNA from 1 species
GGGAAAGGAAGUACUUAGUGACUCAGUCUCUCCUACUAUAGGUGGACUUUAUUUCUGCACCAGGGAAGACAGACCUCUGCUAAUUCUGGACUCAAACACUGAUGGCUCUAGCCCUGGAGAAGAAAGAGGAUCUCCUUUAUCGAGGGCCAGGUGAACCUUGCAAAACCCAGAACAGCCAGCCCUGAUCUUUGGUUUUGAUGGCGUGAGAAAUCACAGAACAAGGGCUACGAGCCAUUGAGCCACUCCCCAAGAAGAGGUCUACAAGAGUUCAUUCUCUCACAGGCUUCAAAAGGAACCAACCCCACCAGCACCUUAAUCUCAGACUUCCAGCCUCUAGAACUGUGAGACAAUAAAUUUCUCCUGUUUAUUCCACACAGUUUGUGGUACUUUGUUUCAGCAGUCCUGGCAAGCUGAGACACCUGUAAACUGG